rnacentral:lncRNA from 1 species
UUCUUCGAUGAAAUCAUAGACAUUUCAUUAUCUCACCAAUAUAUACCAUGCUAUUUAUUUUGUUCCAUUCUAUUUGGGUUUAGAGUUUAUUUUUGGGUUUAGGGUUUAGUGAAUCAUAUUUAGGGUUUAGUAUUUAGAAAGUGAGGGGUUUUGGUUGGGGUAAGCAUUAACUUUAAUUUCUUCCAUGAAAUCAUAGAUAUUUCAUAAUUUCACCAAUAUAUAACAUACUAUUAUUUUGUUCCAUUCUAUUUGGGUUUAUAGUUUAUAUUUGGGUUUAGGGUCUAGUGAAUAGGGUGUAGGGUUUAGUGAAUAUGGUUUAGGGUUUAGUAUUUAGAAGAUGAAGGGGUAUGGUUGGGGUCAACAUCAACUUUUUCCAUGAAAUCAUAGACAUUUCUUACAUGCAAUCGUAUACAUUUCAUAAUUUCACUAAUAUGUAUUAUGUUAUUUAUUUUGUUCCAUUCUAUUUGGGUUUAAUAUUUAUAUUUGGGUUUAGGGUUUCUAUUUGGGUUAUGGUUUAGUGAUUAGAGUUUAGGGUUUAGUAUUUAGAAGGGUUUAUAUUUAGGGUUUAUAUUUUUCGUGUAGGGUUUCGUGAUGAUUGGAUAGGGUUUAGUUUCUGGAAUAUUGGGUUCACCAAUGGGAA